rnacentral:rRNA from 1 species
AUUGAACGCUGGCGGCAGGCCUAACACAUGCAAGUCGAACGGAAGCACAGAGAGCUUGCUCUCGGGUGACGAGUGGCGGACGGGUGAGUAACGUCUGGGAAACUGCCCGAUGGAGGGGGAUAACUACUGGAAACGGUAGCUAAUACCGCAUAACGUCGCAAGACCAAAGUGGGGGACCUUCGGGCCUCACACCAUCGGAUGUGCCCAGAUGGGAUUAGCUAGUAGGUGGGGUAAUGGCUCACCUAGGCGACGAUCCCUAGCUGGUCUGAGAGGAUGACCAGCCACACUGGAACUGAGACACGGUCCAGACUCCUACGGGAGGCAGCAGUGGGGAAUAUUGCACAAUGGGCGCAAGCCUGAUGCAGCCAUGCCGCGUGUAUGAAGAAGGCCUUCGGGUUGUAAAGUACUUUCAGCGGGGAGGAAGGCGGUGGAGUUAAUAACUUCACCGAUUGACGUUACCCGCAGAAGAAGCACCGGCUAACUCCGUGCCAGCAGCCGCAGUAA